UACAGAGGUCCCAAGCGUUGUUCGGAUUCAUUGGGCGUAAAGGGUGCGUAGGCGGUGUGUCAAGUCAGGCGUGAAAGCCCCCGGGCUCAACCUGGGAACCGCGCUUGAGACUGGCACGCUCGAGUUCGGGAGAGGAUGGUGGAAUUCCCAGUGUAGAGGUGAAAUUCGUAGAUAUUGGGAAGAACACCAGUGGCGAAGGCGACUACCUGGCCUGUUCUUGACGCUGAGGCGCGAAAGCUAGGGGAGCAAACGGG
rnacentral:rRNA from 1 species